rnacentral:rRNA from 1 species
CGCGCAGGCGGCUAUUUAAGUUGGAUGUGAAAGCCUACGGCUCAACCGUAGAACUGCAUCCAAAACUAUUUAGCUAGAGUGUGGGAGAGGAAGAUGGAAUUAGUUGUGUAGGGGUAAAAUCCGUAGAGAUAACUAGGAAUACCAAAAGCGAAGGCAAUCUUCUGGAACACUACUGACGCUGAGGCGCGAAAGCGUGGGGAAGCAAACA